GCGGCGGACGGCUGAGUAACGCGUAGGAACAUACCCCAGAGUGAGGGAUAAGCACCGGAAACGGUGUCUAAUACCGCAUAAUCUCUUCGGAGCAAAGCUUUAGCGCUUUGGGAAUGGCCUGCGUCCGAUUAGCUAGUUGGUGAGGUAAAUGCUCACCAAGGCGACGAUCGGUAGCUGGUCUAAGAGGAUGAUCAGCCAGACUGGGACUGAGACACGGCCCAGACUCCUACGGGAGGCAGCAGUAGGGAAUCUUCCACAAUGGACGAAAGUCUGAUGGAGCAACGCCGCGUGCAGGAUGAAGGCCUUCGGGUUGUAAACUGCUUUUAUCUGUGAUGAUUUUGACAGUAGCAGAAGAAUAAGGAUCGGCUAACUCCGUGCCAGCAGCCGCGGUCAUACGGAGGAUCCAAGCGUUAUCCGGAAUUACUGGGCGUAAAGAGUUGUGUAGGUGGCAUAAUAAGCGAGACAUGAAAGCGUACGGCUCAACCGUAUAUCCAUGUUUUGAACUGUUAAGCUAGAGAGUGAGAGGGGUCGCUGGAAUUCCUGGUGUAGGGGUAAAAUCCGUAGAUAUCAGGAGGAACACCAAUGGCGUAGGCAGGCGACU
rnacentral:rRNA from 1 species